UACAGAGGUGGCAAGCGUUGUUCGGAAUUACUGGGCGUAAAGGGCGCGUAGGCGGUCUUGUAAGUCUUGUGUGAAAUCCCUCGGCUUAACUGAGGAACUGCACGGGAUACUGCUUGACUUGAGAUCGGGAGAGGGAAGCGGAAUUCCGGGUGUAGCGGUGAAAUGCGUAGAUAUCCGGAGGAACACCGGUGGCGAAGGCGGCUUCCUGGACCGACACUGACGCUGAGGCGCGAAAGCUAGGGGAGCAAACGGG
rnacentral:rRNA from 1 species